CUGUUAACUUUAAAGAUGGACGCCCCUCCAGAGAGGAGAGGCCACACCAGAAGAGUUCAAAUGUUACCAGGUCUGUACAGAAGAAUCAAACAGAGCUGAUCAAGAGGGCUGAGGAGAACGCACACGCUUUCCUCGACAAGGAGC